rnacentral:rRNA from 1 species
GUUGAUCCUGCCGGAGGCCAUUGCUAUCGGAGUCCGAUUUAGCCAUGCUAGUUGCGCGGGUUCAGCCCCGCAGCGAAAAGCUCAGUAACACGUGGCCAAGCUACCCUGUGGACGGGAAUAAUCUCGGGAAACUGAGGCUAAUCCCCGAUAACGCUUCGCUCCUGGAAAGGACGAAGCCGGAAACGCUCCGGCGCCACAGGAUGCGGCUGCGGUCGAUUAGGUAGACGGUGGGGUAACGGCCCACCGUGCCUAUAAUCGGUACGGGUUGUGAGAGCAAGAGCCCGGAGACGGAAUCUGAGACAAGAUUCCGGGCCCUACGGGGCGCAGCAGGCGCGAAACCUUUACACUGUACGAAAGUGCGAUAAGGGGACUCCGAGUGUGAAGGCAUAGAGCCUUCACUUUUGUACACCGUAAGGUGGUGUACGAAUAAGGACUGGGCAAGACCGGUGCCAGCCGCCGCGGUAAUACCGGCAGUCCGAGUGAUGGCCGAUUUUAUUGGGCCUAAAGCGUCCGUAGCUGGCUAGACAAGUCCGUUGGGAAAUCUGCCCGCUUAACGGGCAGGCGUCCAGCGGAAACUGUCUAGCUUGGGACCGGAAGACCUGAGGGGUACGUCUGGGGUAGGAGUGAAAUCCUGUAAUCCUGGACGGACCGCCGGUGGCGAAAGCGCCUCAGGAGAACGGAUCCGACAGUGAGGGACGAAAGCUAGGGUCUCGAACCGGAUUAGAUACCCGGGUAGUCCUAGCUGUAAACGAUGUCCGCUAGGUGUGGCGCGGCUACGAGCCUGCGCUGUGCCGUAGGGAAGCCGAGAAGCGGACCGCCUGGGAAGUACGUCUGCAAGGAUGAAACUUAAAGGAAUUGGCGGGGGAGCACUACAACCGGAGGAGCCUGCGGUUUAAUUGGACUCAACGCCGGACAUCUCACCAGCCCCGACAGUAGUAAUGACGGUCAGGUUGAUG